ACGAGUUACAGAAGCCUUCGGCGACGUAACUUAGUGGCGAACGGGUGAGUAACACGUGAGCACCUGCCCUUCAGAGGGGGACAACAGUUGGAAACGACUGCUAAUACCGCAUAAGGUGGCAUCACCAAAGGAGAAAUCCGCUAAGAUGGGCUCGCGUCCAAUUAGCUAGAUGGUGAGGUAACGGCCCACCAUGGCGACGAUUGGUAGCCGGACUGAGAGGUUGAUCGGCCACAUUGGGACUGAGACACGGCCCAGACUCCUACGGGAGGCAGCAGUGGGGAAUAUUGCACAAUGGAGGAAACUCUGAUGCAGCGACGCCGCGUGAGGGAAGAAGGUCUUCGGAUUGUAAACCUCUGUUGUCAGGGACGAUAAUGACGGUACCUGACGAGGAAGCCACGGCUAACUACGUGCCAGCAGCCGCGGUAAAACGUAGGUGGCAAGCGUUGUCCGGAAUUACUGGGUGUAAAGGGAGCGCAGGCGGGAGAGCAAGUUGGAAGUGAAAUCUGUGGGCUCAACUCACAAAUUGCUUUCAAAACUGUUUUUCUUGAGUGGUGUAGAGGUAGGCGGAAUUCCCGGUGUAGCGGUGGAAUGCGUAGAUAUCGGGAGGAACACCAGUGGCGAAGGCGGCCUACUGGGCACUAACUGACGCUGAGGCUCGAAAGCAUGGGUAGCAAACAGGAUUAGAUACCCUGGUAGUCCAUGCCGUANACGAUGAUUACUAGGUGUGGGAGGUUGACCUUCCGUGCCGCAGUUAACACAAUA
rnacentral:rRNA from 1 species